ACUUGUCCAUACAAUAUAAUAUCAGUAUAUCUUACAAAAGUCCUCCCGGCAUGUCCAAAGUUAUUUUCAUCUAUAUAUAAGAAACGUAUGUGAACCUCAAUCAAAAGAAAUCAUAGACCAAUUUCAUAUCUCCGUCUGCGCAGGUCGGAACCACUUAAAAUACAGUUAGUUCUCCGUAGUUUCUUCACAGAUCAAUGUAUACGUUUCUUUUUAUGGAAAACACCAAGUUUAUUUAGCAAAGUUUUCAA
rnacentral:lncRNA from 1 species